rnacentral:piRNA from 1 species
GACAGCUGAACUGGGUCGUGCCUUCACAGG